GGCGAGGUAGACGAUGGAGCCGUGGGUGACGCCAAGGGCGGCGAUGGGGGUUUGUGGGUCGGACAUGUCGGUGAAUCGGGCGAUGUCGGAUGGGGUUUUGGCAAGGAGGAGGUUCUGGUUGGUGGAGAGGGUUUGGGAGGAGAUGGGGAUAUGGAGGUGCUGUUGGAUUAGGGUUUUGAGUUGGGAGAUUGUGGCAUGUGGAUUGUCGAGGGUGAGGCGUUCGAGGCCAUCUCUGCUGCGAAUUCUGAUCAACAUCUUCGCUUCUUCUCCCUUCCUGCCUCCUUCUUUUUG
rnacentral:lncRNA from 1 species